UACGAAGGGGGCUAGCGUUGCUCGGAAUCACUGGGCGUAAAGCGCACGUAGGCGGACUCUUAAGUCGGUGGUGAAAUCCUGGAGCUCAACUCCAGAACUGCCUUCGAUACUGAGAGUCUCGAGUCCGGGAGAGGUGAGUGGAACUGCGAAGUGUAGAGGUGAAAUUCGUAGAUAUUCGCAAGAACACCAGUGGCGAAGGCGGCUCACUGGCCC
rnacentral:rRNA from 1 species